UAAAGUUUACCUUCCUCUGUUAAUGUAACUGCAUUUGGCGUGUGUUCGUAAGUGGCUUGUUCCUGUCAAAUAGAGAAAUCGGUGUUGAGAUUUUUAUUCAGUUGCAGAGAGAUUUCCAGAGCACCAUCCUAGAAACUAAUGUCCAUGUUAUCUUCA